UUGGCCCUGAAUCAAGGCCAGCAGUUUGCUGAAGCUCUUGGUUUCAAGCAGGCGCCUAAAUAAAUGCCCUUCUACGGUCUGCUGGCCAUUUCAGAAAUUUAAAAAUGUAAUGAUCAGUUCAUCAGAAAGAAACAUCU